GGGGUUAUAUAGCACAUAGUUUUAACAAUGCAUGAAUGUGUUUAACAGUGUUCCCCUUCAACUUGUCCUCGAACCAGAGACCCUCUGAACACCCGAGAAACUGUCGCCCAUGAAGCAUCAUUACCUAUCGCUCCACUAAAAGCCGCGGUCCUGGCGGAGCGAAGGAAACAACUACUUUCAAGGUCUCAAAGUGGGUGACGUCACUGAUUGAACGCUACUAGCGCACAUUUAGUACUUGGCUACUUUAGUGCUUGUCUGUCUUCAGCUUCUGGGUCAGCUAUAAGAGGUGUAUUGUCUGUCUUCAGCUUCUGGGUCAGCUAUAAGAGGUGUAUUGUCUGUCUUCAGCUUCUGGGUCAGCUAUAAGAGGUGUAUUGUCAGUCUUCAGCUUCUGGGUUAGCUAUAAGAGGUGUAUUGUCUGUCUUCAGCUUCUGGGUCAGCUAUAAGAGGUGUAUUGUCAGUCUUCAGCUUCUGGGUUAGCUAUAAGAGGUGUAUUGUCUGUCUUCAGCUUCUGGGUCAGCUAUAAGAGGUGUAUUGUCAGUCUUCAGCUUCUGGGUUAGCUAUAAGAGGUGUAUUGUCUGUCUUCAGCUUCUGGGUCAGCUAUAAGAGGUGUAUUGUCUGUCUUCAGCUUCUGGGUCAGCUAUAAGAGGUGUAUUGUCAGUCUUCUGCUUCUGGGUCAGCUAUAAGAGGUGUAUUGUCUGUCUUCAGCUUCUGGGUCAGCUAUAAGAGGUGUAUUGUCAGUCUUCAGCUUCUGGGUCAGCUAUAAGAGGUGUAUUGUCAGUCUUCAGCUUCUGGGUCAGCUAUAAGAGGUGUAUUGUCUGUCUUCAGCUUCUGGGUCAGCUAUAAGAGGUGUAUUGUCAGUCUUCAGCUUCUGGGUCAGCUAUAAGAGGUGUAUUGUCUGUCUUCAGCUUCUGGGUCAGCUAUAAGAGGUGUAUUGUCUGUCUUCAGCUUCUGGGUCAGCUAUAAGAGGUGUAUUGUCAGUCUUCAGCUUCUGGGUCAGCUAUAAGAGGUGUAUUGUCAGUCUUCAGCUUCUGGGUCAGCUAUAAGAGGUGUAUUGUCUGUCUUCAGCUUCUGGGUCAGCUAUAAGAGGUGUAUUGUCUGUCUUCAGCUUCUGGGUCAGCUAUAAGAGGUGUAUUGUCUGUCUUCAGCUUCUGGGUCAGCUAUAAGAGGUGUAUUGUCUGUCUUCAGCUUCUGGGUCAGCUAUAAGAGGUGUAUUAUCUGUCUCCAGCUUCUGGGUCAGCUAUAAGAGGUGUAUGGUCUGUCUUCAGCUUCUGGGUCAGCUAUAAGAGGUGUAUUGUCUGUCUCCAGCUUCUGGGUCAGCUAUAAGAGGUGUACAUUAGGUAGGAUCUCCGUGAAUUGGCCAAUGAAAAGUCCUCAAUGGAUGUGAAUUACUUUGACUCGCCUGUGUCUUCCUGUAACUAUGGUAACACUUAUCUGAAU